rnacentral:lncRNA from 1 species
GGAAACUCACUGGAAAAUGCAGAAAAGGUCUCUGUUAUUACAAAUCUCUCAGCUCCCCAAACUCCAUCGUCGGUGCAAUCAAGCCUACUUCUUCUCAUCUGGAAAAACCCAAAAUUUCCAUUCAUUCCCAGACAAUAAUGGCGAUCCUAUGUAUUCAGACGUGCCCAAGCCACGGACAGACAAGUCCCAAAGGAAACCGUACCCGACACCCAUGAAAGAACUGAUUAAAAGGGCUAAACAAGAAAAAGAAUUAAGAAAAUCCCAACCUUGUAGAUUGCUUGAACAUCCUCCCGCCAAUGGGUUGUUGGUCCCUGAACUCGUCGACGUCGCUCACCGAGUCUACCGAGCUCGUGAACUCAUCCUCUCCGGUUUGUCCAAACUCCUCCAGUUCAUCCCAGUU